rnacentral:tRNA from 1 species
GUCACGGUAGCUCAAGUGGUAGAGCAGCGGCGUGUUGAGCCGAAAGUCGUGGGUUCGAAUCCCGCCUUUGACA